rnacentral:misc_RNA from 1 species
AACAGCAAUUUUGGGUGCUUAACACAUGAAGUGGACUGACUUUCAAGCAUUUUUUCCACCUCUUUUUUCGUCCAUAUGAGCUUGCCACAUGGACAACAUCUUAUCCUGGCAUAUACCUGGUUAGCUGGUGGAUCAAAUUGAAAUGAAUUUUAAAGAAUAGAAAGCAAAUUUAUAAAAUGUUUAGAAUUGGAUAGCAUUGAAAAUUCAUGAAAAGUUUGAGAAAAAUGAAAUCAUUGGGCUUUAUUUAUUUAGUUUGUAGAAGUGUGAGAAUUGCUUCCUUUUUAAG